UACAGAGGUCCCAAGCGUUGUUCGGAUUCAUUGGGCGUAAAGGGUGCGUAGGCGGCGCGGUAAGUCGGGUGUGAAGUACUCCGGAGCUUAACUCCGAAACUGCAUUCGAUACUGCCGUGCUUGAGGACUGGAGAGGAGACUGGAAUUUACGGUGUAGCGGUGAAAUGCGUAGAUAUCGUAAGGAAGACCAGUGGCGAAGGCGGGUCUCUGGA
rnacentral:rRNA from 1 species